ACUCAAUGAUAAAACCUCAGACCAUGACACCUCAGGAAAAAAUUGAAAAAUUAAGGAAACGACAGCAAAUGCAGGCAAUGCUUGCUAUUCAGAAACAGCAGCAGCAGUUUGGUCAUCAAGUUUCCUGUAGUGAUCAGUCCAUCAGUCAAAAAUGUUCCCUAGAAAAUCAAAUUCACCAUGUUCAGGGAGCAGAUCUAGAAGUGGAGGAUCCAAGCACUCUUCCUGCAUUUGAUCCAAACUCACCAGUUGAACAUGAUGAUUCCAAUACAAUCUCUCUGGUAGUUAAUGAUUAUUCAGCAGAGGACACUGUACUCUACCAGCUUCAAGAUAUUAUUUCAAAGGUAUGCUGCUUUGUUUUUCUGAUAGAGUAAUUUGGACUUAGUUUCAAUGGCAAACCAAUGUUUUACUGCAGUUGGACGCCAGAAUUAGACUCUGUAUUCGAGAUAGCUUAUUCCGGUUGGCUCAAAGUGCAAUGCAACGGCAUUCUGGUAGUGAUACUGGCAGUACCAACAACAGUAGCAGAGAUGAGAAAGUUGUCACAAAAGAGGAAACAAGAGGUCAUAACAGGUUGAUUUAUGUGAUUCACCUCUCCUGCAUUAUGUUUUCAAACUCUACGUAUUUGAUUUCUUUUUCUUUUUAAUUUUACAAAAAGGUUCUUUUGUUGUGUUACCAUUUCCUCUUUCCUUUCAGUUGGUGGUAAAAGUAGUAGAAGAAAUUAGUUGCCAUUUCCAUUUUAAUUUUAUCUCCUAUCAGCAACACAUACUACCAUACCUCCUUUAUUUGUGCUCAUCAUAUUGGAAGACCUGUUCUGGGAGAUGGCUUAAUCUGUAUGGGAAUUUCAUAUGAUGUUUGAACAGUGAAGUAACUUUCUUCAUGUGCUCAGUUAUGUCAAUAAACAAGGGAGUGAAUGCUAGGACCAGUGGAACGUUUUCAAAAGUGACUUUUAAAGUUACAUUAGUGGGUUACUAGUCACACAGUUGAUAUAUGUUGGAAAAAAUAAUAAUAAAACAGGUUUGUUCCUCAAGUCAGGAGAUAUGUAUUAUCUAAGUAUGCAUCAAUUUGCUAUUGAUAAAGUAAUUACAGGGUUAAUAUCAUUUCCCAUAUUUAAUUUUAUGGUACAUUGCAGGAGUGCUAAUAUGUCCCAGGUGGAAACAGAGACCAAUCCCAUAGACCGAACUGUGGCCCAUUUACUGUUUCAUAGACCUUUGGAGUUGUCAGGAAGGCAUCCUGAUACCCCUGACUCACCUGCUUCCACUAAGCUACCAACUGAACAGAAAGCAUUAGGCAUGGCAAAACUGUCAAUGAGGUGCUUGCCUGAGGCUUUAAACAGCAAACGGAUCUUUUUUCACCAAGGAUCUAAAGAUCCCUGUCCUAUGGCUGAUCCCCAGCAUGUCCGUCAAUGUAAAAGCACUGUUUGCAAUGACACCUCAGAUAAUGCAUCAAACAAUGGGCUUGCAGAUGAGGGAGCCAAGGAUGUGGAAGCCUCUCAAUGACCAAAUAAGAAAGCUAUGCACUUGAGAAUUUUAUAAGGGUAAUUCCUUCCUUUUAUCUCUUCCAUGAUUAAUAUCCUGCUUGCAUUGAAAAUAUGCAUGGAUUUACUGGUAAUGUGGAUAAUUAAUUUUGUUGUCAGCCAA
rnacentral:lncRNA from 1 species